rnacentral:lncRNA from 1 species
CAGGGGAAAGUCCAGAGCGGCCGGGCUCCAGGAUGGGGCCUAAAAAUAAAACAGCCCGACAGCCGCACAAAGGGUCUCUUGAGGGGGGAAGCAGGUGCAGCCAGAGGGGCCUUCCCGGCUGCCGUGGGCCGGGGGAGGGGGAGCCCAGCCCAGGCUCUCCCGCCUGCCCCGGGUCGCCCCCCGCAGCCUUUGGAGCGCAGCGGCCUGGAUUCGCUGUGGGACCUCUCUGGGAACCAACACCUCCCGUCUGGUCUUCGGAGAAACUGGGAGCCACACAGGAUGCCACGAUGCCCUAGCUGGAAUACGGACAGCGCCUUCCACCCUGACAAGAUCAAGGGGCCUGCUUUUUUUGGUUUUGUUUUGUUCAGGAGAUCGGACUUAGGACCUUGUGCUUGCAAGGCAGGUUCUACCAAAUCAUUGGAGACUCUCCUCUUGGAUUUCCGCCAUGUGGCCUUCAGGAAGAGGCUUCUUACAGUGGGAAAAGCUUUAUCCAGAGCCUCAAUUAUCUAUUCAACCUUCUAAAAAAAUGGGAUGGAGUGAUUUUCAACUUCAGAGAUUUUGCUGCUGCUCUUCUCAAACAUUUCCCUGGAAAUUGGAUUUGGGCAAAUAACUUUUGAAGGAGAAUGCAAUCAUUGACCCAGACUCCAUUUUUUUUCUUUUUUUCUCUUGCCUGUCUUUGGUGAGUUAUUCUUUCCCUCAGUUUAUCUUGAAUUCCAGAUCACAGGUCUGAUAGAUAAACAUCCUGUGACAAAUCAAAACUGCCUCCUAAGCAGCAGGGACUCUGUGUGACCAGUCCCAGGGUAACGAGCAGCCUGAGCAGGAUCACCAGCCAUGCCAGCCCUCCACUCUUGCUUUUAGUCCUCCCUGUAUAACCCUGGACUUGUUUUUAGUACUCUGAAGACAGCAUGGACAUCUGUCUUACCAUGCAAUGCUAGGGAGAAUAAACUCUUCCUGUGUUACCACCAAUUUUUAUAUUUGGUUCUUUGGGACGAGUGGCUGAUCAUGCUGUGUUAAGAUCCCCAAACCCACUAGUCCUCUGUCCUAGCACUUUGGUGACAUUAUCCUUGCUCCACUAGCAGAUAGGCCUCUACUCUGUUACCCUGAGCAAACAGACAGCAAUAGAAUCAGG